GACAUAGGUGGCGAACGUUAUCCGGAAUUAUUGGGCGUAAAGGAUGCGUAGAUGGUAGAAUAAGUUGCUGGUCGAUGCCAAACUCAAUUUGACGGAAGCUAGCAAUACUGUUCUGCUAGAGGGCAGGAGAGGUUGAUGGAAUUCUGUGUGGAGCGGUGAAAUGCGUUGAUCAACAGAGGAACACCAAAAAAGGCGAAGGCAGUCAACUAUUCUGUUCCUGACAUUGAGGCAU
rnacentral:rRNA from 1 species